rnacentral:rRNA from 1 species
GAUGAACGCUGGCGGCGUGCCUAAUACAUGCAAGUCGAGCGAACAGACGAGGAGCUUGCUCCUCUGACGUUAGCGGCGGACGGGUGAGUAACACGUGGAUAACCUACCUAUAAGACUGGGAUAACUUCGGGAAACCGGAGCUAAUACCGGAUAAUAUAUUGAACCGCAUGGUUCAAUAGUGAAAGACGGUUUUGCUGUCACUUAUAGAUGGAUCCGCGCCGCAUUAGCUAGUCGGUAAGGUAACGGCUUACCAAGGCAACGAUGCGUAGCCGACCUGAGAGGGUGAUCGGCCACACUGGAACUGAGACACGGUCCAGACUCCCACGGGAGGCAGCAGUAGGGAAUCUUCCGCAAUGGGCGAAAGCCUGACGGAGCAACGCCGCGUGAGUGAUGAAGGUCUUCGGAUCGUAAAACUCUGUUAUUAGGGAAGAACAAAUGUGUAAGUAACUAUGCACGUCUUGACGGUACCUAAUCAGAAAGCCACGGCUAACUACGUG